rnacentral:rRNA from 1 species
GAUGAACGCUGGCGGCGUGCCUAAUACAUGCGAGUCGAGCGAACAGACGAGGAGCUUGCUCCUCUGACGUUAGCGGCGGACGGGUGAGUAACACGUGGAUAACCUACCUAUAAGACUGGGAUAACUUCGGGAAACCGGAGCUAAUACCGGAUAAUAUAUUGAACCGCAUGGUUCAAUAGUGAAAGACGGUUUUGCUGUCACUUAUAGAUGGAUCCGCGCCGCAUUAGCUAGUUGGUAAGGUAACGGCUUACCAAGGCAACGAUGCGUAGCCGACCUGAGAGGGUGAUCGGCCACACCGGAACUGAGACACGGUCCAGACUCCUACGGGAGGCAGCAGUAGGGAAUCUUCCGCAAUGGGCGAAAGCCUGACGGAGCAACGCCGCGUGAGUGAUGAAGGUCUUCGGAUCGUAAAACCCUUUUAUUAGGGAAGAACAAAUGUGUAAGUAACUAUGCACGUCUUGACGGUACCUAAUCAGAAAGCCACGGCUAACUAUGUG